CCUACGUGAGACAGCAGUGAGGAAUAUUGGUCAAUGGGCUUACGCCUGAACCAGCCAAAUCGCGUGAGGGAAGACUGCCCUAUGGGUUGUAAACCUCUUUUGUCAGGGAGCAACGCCGGCUACGUGUAGCCGGACUGAGAGUACCUGAAGAAAAAGCAUCGGCUAACUCCGUGCCAGCAGCCGCGGUAAUACGGAGGAUGCGAGCGUUAUCCGGAUUUAUUGGGUUUAAAGGGUGCGUAGGCGGAAUGCCAAGUCAGCGGUAAAAUCGCGGGGCUCAACCUCGCUCCGCCGUUGAAACUGGCGUUCUUGAGUGGGCGAGAAGUAUGCGGAAUGCGUGGUGUAGCGGUGAAAUGCAUAGAUAUCACGCAGAACUCCGAUUGCGAAGGCAGCAUACCGGCGCCCAACUGACGCUGAAGCACGAAAGCGUGGGUAUCGAACAGGAUUAGAUACCCCGGUAGUC
rnacentral:rRNA from 1 species